UGACUUCUGAAUCGUGGGAGUGAUCAAUUUAUGGCAGUGUUGGAAAAGAGAACUUGCCUUGGAAAUCCCAGCUGAGUCUCAGUUCUACAAUUUAUUAGCUGUAUGACCUUAGAUGACCCUGACUAACCCUCCCCAUCGGCAAGGGUCUCCUCGGCUGACAGUGAGGUCAGAAGACCUGGACGUUGAGUGACAGCAGUGGAAAAGGUUUGGAAGUGACUCCUCUGAUCGAGGCCUCUAACCCUAAGAAAUGCCGUUUUCCUCUCUGCACACAGUGGCUGUGGACCCUCUACUCGCUCGGUGACCUGGGGUGAGAGAGCAGCUCCUCAUCACACAGAGAACAUCAACCCCAAACUCCAGAGUCUGUGGAAUGUGCUUUCUGUGGCACUGUCGGCAUCCGUUCCAGCUGAUGAAACCCUUUAAAGAAGCUCAGAUGCUUUUGCGCACGAAGCGUCCCUGACAAUUAGAGACGCACGCUCUGCCAUCUUGGCUUGUCCUCCGGCAGCUGCGCCCCGAUCUGUUCAGAUUGGGGAGACCUUUCCUGGCCUUCCUCAAAACCAUCAUUUGUGCAGCGUCCCCGGGGCUACGAACAGCAAGGAAAUGAAGGAAAGCAAGCAACAUCUGGCGUUAAACAAAUACCA
ensembl:lncRNA